rnacentral:rRNA from 1 species
AUUAAUGAAACUUCAAAGUCGGCUUAUGGUUGUUGCUGGUGGAUUCAUUUCACAUGUGCACGCCAUAGGUCGCAAUCCACACACACCUGUGCAUCUAUGACUCGAGGUUGUAACGACUGAGAGUAACUUUUACACACUCUUGUAUGUAACGGAAUGUCUUUUUGUGCAAUAAUGUACAUUAUAAACAACUUUCAACAACGGAUCUCUUGGCUCUCGCAUCGAUGAAGAACGCAGCGAAAUGCGAUAAGUAAUGUGAAUUGCAGAAUUCAGUGAAUCAUCGAAUCUUUGAACGCACCUUGCACCCUUUGGUAUUCCGAAGGGUACGCCCGUUUGAGCGUCAUUGUAAUCUCACUUCAACAACUUUUGUUGUUUGAAUGUGGACCUGGAUGUUGCCGUGUCAUAACGGCUCGUCUCAAAUGCCUGAGUGUACCCUGUUUUGCAGCGUAUCCAGUGUAAUAAACAUUUCACUAGAGUUGGUCGAAAGGCCGCGUUUUGCGAUUUGGGCUCUAUGCUUCAAACCGUCCUUUUUGGACAAACUACUUGACAAUUUGGCCUCAAAUCGGGUGGGACUACCC